AAAGACACAGACACUCAGCCUCCACUGCCCUUGGGAGUUGGGUUGGGGAGCGGGUGGCGGUGUUUGGAUGGAGACAACUGACCUGGUUAAGGGCAGAGCUAGGAAUUAGACUCAGGGGCUGGGCACAGUGGCUCACACCUGUAAUCCCAGUACUUUGGGAGGCGGAGGCUGGUGGGUCACCUGAGGCCAUGAGUUCCAACCCAGCCUGACCAAUAUGGUGAAACCCCGUCUCUACUAAAAAUACAAAAAUUAGCCANNNNNNNNNNGUAGGGAGACAAGCAUUCAAUAAAUACUUUGCAGAAGCCAUGAGGUAGGUACUAUCAUCCUUGUUUUGCAGAUGAGAGGCUCACAGAUGUUAAGGUCAUCUGUGGUAGAACCGAGAUUUGAACCCAGGUAGUUUGUCUCUAAAACUGUAACCACUGACGACACUGCCCAUGGUCAGAGAGUCUGUGAUGCUUGGCUUACACGUGGCAGGGACAGACUUGUACUAUUCUGUCACCAGAGCCCUGGAGGGGUCAACAGGAAGAACUUGGGAAACUGGAGGGAACUAAAGGAGCCCCAUAGAGCGAAAAAGGAUCUUAGAGGCCCACUUGCAGACAUGGCUAUUUAUUUUUUUACAAAUAUUUAUUUCAUUUCUUCUAUAUUCCAGGUACUGUGUGAGAUAGUGAUAGGUAGAAGAUUCAUUUAUUGAUUCACUCAGCAACUAUUGAGCACCUACUAUGUGCCAGACACUAUGCUAAGCUGUGGGGUUACAAGAGAAACCAAACAGACAAAACCCUUGCCCUCACUGAGCUUAUGAUCUAAUGGGAAGACAGAAAAUAAACAAGAUAAAUAAGUUUAAAUAUAUAUAUGUAGUAUGAUAGAUAGUGAUAAGUGCUAAGAAGGAUAAAAAAGGAAUUAUGUGAAGUUGAAAUUUUAGGCAAGGUAGCCAAGGAAGGCCUCAGUGACAUGAGGUGAGAAGGGCAGGCAAGGCUCAAGUCAUGUAAGGCAUUGCUGGUCCUUGUAAAAAAUACAUAGCUUUAUAUUUUUAAAAAUCUAAAACACUAUGGGAGGCCAGCAGAAUUUUUCCGUUUUGUUUUUGUGUGCAUGAUUUUAUGUAGGAGUUCCCUGGAGACCAAUGCUCAUGGAAGAGGGGCAGGAGGCAGGAAUGGGCAGAGGGAGAAGAUGAGCACAGGCCCGGCAGUGGCCUUGGCCGGCUGGAUGAGGAACUCCAGUGCUGGACACGCCUCUUCCAGAGCUGUCCUGAGUUGGGCUGAUGGCUCAUCCUUCAUCUCCCCCAUCAGUCAGUGCUUGGGUGUAGAGACCCACGCAACUGGCAUGACCUUGGAUGAGGCAGUUCUUUGCAGUUGAUGCAAUCCUGGAGGGGCUGAGAGCUGGAGGCUAUUUCCCAACAGCAAGCCAGUACCAGGGGCAAUGAGCCCUUCUCUGAACAGGGGCCUGGGCGGCUGUUCAUACUGUCCAUCCCAUGUAUCCAGGCCUUUCUUUCUCGGCCUAUGAUAGUGUUUAUUCAGUGGAAGUUUUUAACCAUAAAUGAUAUAAUCUGAUUCACAUAUAAUUUUUUAAAACAAUCACUCCAGUUUCUGUGUGUGGAGAAUAGACUGGGGUGGAGGCAGGGUGAGGUGGGGAGACCAGUUUGAGGCUGAGGCGUGUGGAAG
rnacentral:lncRNA from 1 species